rnacentral:rRNA from 1 species
CCUACGGGUGGCAGCAGUGAGGAAUAUUGGUCAAUGGACGGAAGUCUGAACCAGCCAUGUCGCGUGCAGGAAGACGGCCCUAUGAGUUGUAAACUUCUUUUGUACAAGGGUAAACCUCAAUACGUGUAUUCUGCUGAAAGUACUGUACGAAUAAGGAUCGGCUAACUCCGUGCCAGCAGCCGCGGUAAUACGGAGGAUCCAAGCGUUAUCCGGAUUUAUUGGGUUUAAAGGGUGCGUAGGUGGAUUGUUAAGUUAGAGGUGAAAUGUUCGAGCUUAACUGGAGAACUGCCGCUAAUACUGUUAAUCUAGAGAGUAGUUGCGGUAGGCGGAAUGUAUGGUGUAGCGGUGAAAUGCUUAGAGAUCAUACAGAACACCGAUUGCGAAGGCAGCUUACCAAUCUAUAUCUGACGUUGAGGCACGAAAGCGUGGGGAGCAAACAGGAUUAGAUACCCUAGUAGUC